UACGUAGGAUGCGAGCGUUGUCCGGAAUUAUUGGGCGUAAAGAGAACGUAGGCGGUUUCCUAAGUUUGGUCUUAAAGACCGGGGCUCAACCCCGGGAAUGGACUGAAAACUGGGAGACUCGAGGACGUCAGAGGAAGGUGGAAUUCCCAGUGUAGCGGUGAAAUGCGUAGAUAUUGGGAGGAACACCAGUGGCGAAAGCGACCUUCUGGGACGAUCCUGACGCUGAGGUUCGAAAGCUCGGGGAGCAAAC
rnacentral:rRNA from 1 species